UCUAUGGGGUCGCGAUGUCCAUUUCUUUUGCUGUCUAUGACCAUUCCAGACUGAACUUCCCAACCUCAAAUGUUGUGGGUUGGGCUAAGUUCGGCUGGCCUCCACCGGUUGUAAGAGGCCCUGUCUACUUUCUCACUAAGGCUAUGACUGAACGUCAUCAGAAGUGGACCACAUCAUGAGGCCUUGCAGGCAUG